rnacentral:rRNA from 1 species
UACGUAGGGGGCUAGCGUUGUCCGGAUUUACUGGGCGUAAAGCGUGUUCAGGCGGUCUAGCAAGUCGGGCAUGAAAUCUCUCGGCUCAACCGGGAGGGGUUGUCCGAUACUGCUGGGCUUGAGGGCAGCAGAGGGUGGUGGAAUUCCGGGUGUAGUGGUGAAAUGCGUAGAUAUCCGGAGGAACACCAGUGGCGAAGGCGGCCACCUGGGCUGUACCUGACGCUCAAACACGAAAGCUAGGGGAGCGAACGGG